rnacentral:rRNA from 1 species
AUUCCAGCUCCAAUAGCGUAUAUUAAAGUUGUUGCAGUUAAAAAGCUCGUAGUUGGAUUUCUGGUUUGAUGCCCUGGCCCGCUGCUAUUUUGGUAGUGUGUGCCGGUUGUGCGUCUGCCAUCCUUCUAGGGAACGUUCCUUCUCUUCACUGAGCCGGGUUCGUGAUCUAGAUCGUUUACUUUGAAAAAAUUAGAGUGUUUAAAGCAGGCUUUUGCUAUGAAUACAUUAGCAUGGAAUAAUAAUCUGGGACUUCGGUCAUAUUUUGUUGGUUUCUGUAACUAAAGUAAUGAUUAAUAGGGACAGUCGGGGGCAUUUGUAUUCAAACGACAGAGGUGAAAUUCUUGGACCGUUUGAAGACAAACUACUGCGGAAGCAUUUGCCAAGAAUGUUUUCAUCA